GACGAACGCUGGCGGCGUGCUUAACACAUGCAAGUCGAACGGAAAGGCCCUGCUUUUGUGGGGUGCUCGAGUGGCGAACGGGUGAGUAACACGUGAGUAACCUGCCCUUGACUUUGGGAUAACUUCAGGAAACUGGGGCUAAUACCGGAUAGGAGCUCCUGCGGCAUGGUGGGGGUUGGAACGUUUCGGCGGUUGGGGAUGGACUCGCGGCUUAUCAGCUUGAUGGUGGGGUAGUGGCUUACCAAGGCUUUGACGGGUAGCCGGCCUGAGAGGGUGACCGGCCACAUUGGGACUGAGAUACGGCCCAGACUCCUACGGGAGGCAGCAGUGGGGAAUAUUGCACAAUGGGCGGAAGCCUGAUGCAGCAACGCCGCGUGCGGGAUGACGGCCUUCGGGUUGUAAACCGCUUUCGCCUGUGACGAAGCGUGAGUGACGGUAAUGGGUAAAGAAGCACCGGCUAACUACGUG
rnacentral:rRNA from 1 species